GGGACAGAUUAUAUUAAGAGUAAUAGAUUUACAGUAGAGAACAAACACACUAGACAAUGAAAGCGAAAGAAAAAAACAAUACCUACAAAAGGUCCCACUAAUAGCAACUGAACUGAACGCCAAAUAUCUAGUUUCUCUGGGGUUGCUGGAUCAAGUGUUGGAAAUCGCCACUAGCAUGAACUUCCUUGACCUGUUUGUCGUACUCAUCUUCGUCUUCUUCCUCUUCCACCUCAGGUUCAUCUUCGUUUUCCUCUUUGGCUUCCUCAUCGUCCUCUUCUUGUGCCCAUCCGAAGCCAGGUAUUGACCUUGACGAUGGUGGCGGAGCUCUGGCCUCACUGACGAUCUUCAUUAUGUCCUCGAUGCUCUGGAGGGAGUAGGUGGGAGCGCUGCUGUCACGCCUGUAGUACACUGCCUGCGCUGUCUCUGUAAGCUCCCUCGGUAAAUUCUUCAGGAACCAGGGGUGGUUCUUUAUUUCCCUUAUCGAUAUCCUCCUCAUUGGGUUAGCAACGAAAAUGCGUGAAAGGAGCUGCUUGCAAUCCUGGGAAACAUGGACAUAAUCGGGUAUCUUGUACUGGACCGACAUAAUUCUCCCAAUGGUUUUCCGGAAAUUCUUGGGAUCAUCUUGGUCCUCAAAAGGAUAGGCGCCGACCAGCAUCACAUAC
rnacentral:misc_RNA from 1 species